rnacentral:rRNA from 1 species
UGGGGAAUUUUGCACAAUGGGGGAAACCCUGAUGCAGCGACGCCGCGUGAUUUAGAAGGCCUUCGGGUUGUAAAUAUCUUUUCUAUGGGAAGAAAAUGACAGUACCAUAGGAAUAAGGACCGGCUAAUUACGUGCCAGCAGCCGCGGUAAUACGUAAGGUCCGAGCGUUGUCCGGAAUCAUUGGGCGUAAAGGGUACGUAGGCGGGUAAGCAAGUUAGAAGUGAAAUCCUAUAGCUCAACUAUAGUAAGCUUUUAAAACUGCUCAUCUUGAGGUAUGGAAGGGAAAGUGGAAUUCCUAGUGUAGCGGUGAAAUGCGCAGAUAUUAGGAGGAAUACCGGUGGCGAAGGCGACUUUCUGGCCAUAACCUGACGCUGAGGUACGAAAGCGUGGGUAGCAAACAGG